AUUGAACGCUGGCGGAAUGCUUUACACAUGCAAGUCGAACGGCAGCACGGGGGCAACCCUGGUGGCGAGUGGCGAACGGGUGAGUAAUACAUCGGAACGUGCCCAGUCGUGGGGGAUAACUACGCGAAAGCGUAGCUAAUACCGCAUACGAACUCUGGUUGAAAGCGGGGGAUCGCAAGACCUCGCGCGAUUGGAGCGGCCGAUGGCAGAUUAGGUAGUUGGUGGGGUAAAGGCUCACCAAGCCGACGAUCUGUAGCUGGUCUGAGAGGACGACCAGCCACACUGGGACUGAGACACGGCCCAGACUCCUACGGGAGGCAGCAGUGGGGAAUUUUGGACAAUGGGCGCAAGCCUGAUCCAGCCAUUCCGCGUGCAGGAUGAAGGCCCUCGGGUUGUAAACUGCUUUUGUACGGAACGAAACGCGCCGGGCUAAUACCCUGGCGUAAUGACGGUACCGUAAGAAUAAGCACCGGCUAACUACGUGCCAGCCGCCGCGGUAACAC
rnacentral:rRNA from 1 species